rnacentral:rRNA from 1 species
UUACUUUCGUCGGUGCGCGCGGGGGCUAGGGGAGUUAGGGCCGCCAGUCGCGGGUGGCCCUCCUGCCGUAGACUAGAGCUAGCGGCAAAUAAAUGGGGCGGGUGGAGCGUGGGUGGUAGUAGGUCGUGGAGUGGAGUGCCGCCGCUUGCCUCUACGGUUCCGUGAGACGCCGAAGGGGAUAAAUAUGCCGUGAGCGCGCGGAGCGGUUAAAGUUGUCGCCGGCGGCGCAGGAGGAGCGAAGGUCUUUCUGCUCGAGGUCGAGACGAUCUUGCUAGUACAGAAGCAGAAGGAGGAGCAGCAGCCGCCGCCGGCGCAGGCACGGCAAAGUCUCGGGCUCCUUCCACCAGUUCUUCCACGACAGGAACAGGGUCAGGCUCCCCGUCCCGCGGUGGCAGGCGGCCUCGUAGCCGCCCGUGCUCCAGGCCUUGGACCUGGGCAAGGAGGACGAGCUGCUCAAGAGGCAGAGUUUCGGGCGGCCGAAGGGGCUGGUGGGCGUGGCCCCGAAGCUCUGGCAGUGGAUGUACGAGCUGCCCCACAAGUGGGUGGUCCUGAAGAGGCCUGUGUGCCCGUGGUAGUCCUGGCCUCUACACGUCACCUACUGCCGCCCCGCGCCGUAGCACGUGAGCCUCUACGGACGCCGGCUGCCUCACGUCUUCCCGGACGUCGAGACCUAGUUGGAGCGGAGGUUCCUGUUCUACUAGCUCGGGGCCAUGGUCCUCGAGCUCUCGUUCCUGUAGUCGGUCCGGCUCUUCCUACCGCACCGCCACGCCUAGUAGCGGCCCCUCCGGAAGCCCCACGCCAGCGGUCAGAUGUGUGUCUGCGGCUGGUACAUGUACCUGAAGUGUUACGUUGGUCCAAGCGUCGAGGUGGUCGGUUAGGGCCUCCCGACCUUGCGGAAGCACAUGUAGUAGCUCCCCCUCCCGCACAAGCCGUUCCUCCCACGUCGCGGCCGCUCGCGCGUGGUGACGGAGCACGAACCGCGCCCCCUGCCCGAGUCGCACACCUUAGCCAGACCGCGUGGCGACGCCAAGCGCGACCGCCGCCCCGUCGGCGACUUGCUCGGUCACCACGUCGUCCCAGGUAAGCAGUACUUGAGCGCACGGGUCUAGGUCGUCCGGUACCUCCUGAUAAUGAUGCCGGCGUUGCCGAAGCUCUUCCGGUCGGUCACCUCGAGCCGGACUAAAAGUAGCCACAGAACGGCACUACUACUAGUUGUAGUGCCGCGUAACAGCACGUUUUGUAACCCUUCCUUUCCCUUUAACGUAACAUGGUAAUAUAACUACGGAAACACAUCUUACGUCAUCGUCAGAACAAAAAGAAACUAAGAAAAGAAAUGAACAAAUAUCCUUUCUUAGACUAUGUUAUUUACACACAUUACUCCUCCUUGAAUAAUUACUAACAAAGUAGUAUUUUUCCACUUGACAAAGUA